AUACUUAAGCCGAUUUGAGAUGCGAGGCAGGGUUUAGGAGUCUCUGAGAAGCCCAGCUGUGUCCGCCGAGGGGCGCGUGCCUGACCUCUGGGCGACCUUCCUUGCCUCCAAACAGACAUCCUUUAGCCAUUAUACCCCUCUUCUUAUUUCUCUUCGCCGUCAAGAGAUUUCAGUUUUUAGCCGGGCAUGGUGGCUUCUGCCUGUAAUUCCCGCACUUUCGGAGGCCGAGGCUGGAGGAUCACUUGAGACCAGGAAUUCGAGACUAGCCUGAGCAACAUAGCGAAACUUCAUCUCAACGAACACAAACAAACAAACAAAACCAACCCAAAAUUAGCCAGGGGUGGUGGUGCACGCCUGUAGUCUCAACUACUCAGGAGGCUGAGGCAGGAGGAUCUCUUGAGCCCAAGAGGUGGAGGCUGCUGGGAGCUCUGAUCGUGCCUCUGCCCUCCAUCCUGGUGAUAGAGAUACAGGAUCAACAGGUUCGUAUGCCUGCUGUGCAGUAACAAACCCAUUACACGAAGACAGCAGAGUUUGCAGCAGGGAACGGGUUAAAUGAUUGCAGGGCACCUAGCAAAGAGGUGGGAAGAGAUCCUCAGAUCCAUCUUCCCAAGAGUUCUGGGCUGAGGUUUUUAAGAGGAUCACAGGGCGAGGGGCUGGAAAAUUGGGGUCGUUGAUUGGUCGGAGUAAGGGAGAUGAAAUCAUGAGGAUAGGGAAACUGCAUUCUUUGCUGAAUCAGUUUCUUAUGGGGUUCCUCAGACCAGCUGGCAUCAGUGGGAUCCUUCAGGCCAGCUGAGGCAGUAGUUUCAUUGGUAUGCAGGACCUGAAAGACUAUCUCAAAGGGAAAACUUAGUAUUUCAUAAUGUUCAAGUUGUUCUCUAUAGAGCUAUCGAAGAGAACUAUGAUCUUGUGACAGGGUCUGCAUGAUGUUAGGACGAUAGGCACCAAACAACUGUGGGCAAGGAGGUCAGAGAGGAAGCUGACCUCAUGAGUAAUGCCCAAUUGGCAGCACGUUUGGUUUAUUUUUGUCCCCUCCCCCAUACUUUCUUCCCUGAUUACUUUCAUAAAGUUUAUUGGGAUGGUUUUAGAAUGAGGGGAAAAAAAGAAAUUUAGAGUUAAAACUUCAAAUUCCUUACCUGGGCCUAGCUCAAUGUGGCCCUACCCACCUCUGCAACCUCAAACCACCCUCACUUCUGGCUGCUCUCUCGCCAGACAGGGCUCAGAGACUUUGGAGGGCCCCCUUUCUUUGCCUGGAACACUGUUUCCCCAGACCUCUGCAUAGGCCUGCCCUUUGUCUCUUAAAUCUCUGCUUGGGCUGGGCGCUACACCUGAUCUAUCUAGUUGACUGCUUUGAACAAUGCCCAGCACACAGUAGGACCCAGUAAAUACUUCUCGAAUGAAUCAAAGUCCCUUUUCUCAAUGCAUGACAAGCAUUUAAAUUAGUGGUUCACAAAGACUGAUCUGGAUCCCUACAGGGGGCCCACAAGGUCAAACUAUAUUCAUAAUAAUGUGAAGACAUUAUUUGCCUUUUUAACUCUCAUUUGUGUAUAGUGGAGUUUUCCAGAGGCUAUAUGAGAUUUAUUGUUGUUGUUGUCUUAAAGGGGCUCAUUCUGUCACCCAGGCUGGAGUAUAGUAGUGUGAUCAUAGCCCACUGUAAUCUCAAGCUCCUGGGCUUCAGUGAUACUCCCACCUCAGCCUCCUGAGUAGCUGGGACUACAGGCAUAAAUAAUUUUUUAUUUCAUUUUAUUUGUAGAGACAGGGUCUCUCUGUGUUUCCCUGGUUGGUCUCGAACUCGUAGCCUCAAGUGAUCCUCCUGCUUUAGCCUCCCAAAGCACUGGGAUUAUAGGCAUGAGACACCAUACCCA
ensembl:lncRNA